AGAUGUUGUAAACAUAAUGGGCCUUUCUUUGCAAAAUCUGUGCAGCGGGGGCAAUUGUUACAAAGAACUGAUGCUAAGGAAAUGAUGCAAAAGGAAACAACCCUGUUUCCCAGUGUUAUGUCCCUCACAGAUAAGCAAUGCACUUGCUAAUUUUAAAGCCAGAGAGGGAAGGAAGCAUGACAGCAAAGUUUCCGCCAUAGCAAACACUAUAGGAGGGGAAAAAGCCACAAAGCCCUGUCUUGGAAAAAGCUUAGUGUUCGUCAGUCUGCUUGGAGUCGGGUUGGAAUCUAACACAAGCUUGUUGUGGAAUAAUGGCACAAAAUGAUACACAUCCCUUUUUGGAAAUGCUCAAAUCAUUUAAUGUUGGUGAUAUGAUUCUAGCCUUCUGUUUGUCUGUCCUUGUGGGCCUGCUGCUCGGUGCCAUGGUGUACGUUCUGUUGACCUGGGCGUCCAGGCGCCGGGCCACCGCCAGGAUCACCAGGCGCUCCAAAAAGAAAUCUGGCGUUUCACAAACCAGCAACCCCGCGAGCAACCAGAUGGGUCUUUACCGCAGCACUUUCCUGAGUGUGUACAGACAGCCGUCCCUGGAGCCGGUGGGCCCUCUGGGGAGCAAGCCCGGGCCAGAGACCUCCACCUUUCGGCCUCUGUCCAAGAGGAGCAGGGCCGGCCUUGAGAUGGCGGAGGACACGCAGGUCAGCAUGCCUGAGGACACGGUGGCCUCCAACUCAUCGGAUUCAGCGUCACUGGUGCCAAACAAGCGACACUCCUUCUGGUUGGGGGGCAAUGGACUUAAAGGCUUCCUCCCCUCACAGACCCCCCCUCCUGCCUACGACAGUGUGAUCCAUGCUUUUGAAGAGACUUGCACUUGAAACCUUCAACAAACAAGAAAUAAGAACUGAAAAUGAAAGAACAUUGUGGGAGUGCAGCUGACUCUCUGGUUGUGUUCUGCUCUAUAUGAGGAACAGUUGUCUCUGCAUGAUAAGCGGUCGAGUCGUGGUUGAGGAGUUUCACUCACCGAGGAUCUCCUGGUCAGCAGCAUGGACCUGAAGCUGGGGGCUGCACUCAGACUCUGCUUCCAUAUCAACUCUCUGAUUGAUGCAUGUUUCAUGUCUGUGAACUCAUUUACUCUGGACUCUUUAUUACUCUGGAAUGUGGAUUGUGUUCCCUUGUUUUUUCUGUUUUUCUCUUUUGUGUUUUUGGAGAACUGUGACCUUAUUGGAUUUUGUUUUGUGAAGAACUCUGCCUCAUUAAAAGGACACUUUUUGUUGAAACUUUUUUUGUCUCUGCAUUAAAGAAAUCAACACAGAGGAUAGCAAUAGAUGUUUGACUUUAAUCCGUAGCUGAUAAUCAGCGGCCUGACUUAUUCAAACACAUUAAUACUACAAUGAAUAAGGCAGGGGUUUUCCAUCAGAAAUCAUUUCUGGGACAUUAAUUUAAAAGAUCUCCAGUAUAAGCAAAUGUGUUCUAAAAUUGGUUUACAUCCAAGUGUGAGGCUGUCCUGGCACAUGGAAAUAAGAUAUAUAUAUAUAUUGUUUGUAUUAGCUUUCCCUCAGUUUAGUACUUGCACUUCUUGAAAAGCUCUAUAUAAAUAAGAUGUAUUAAUGUUUAUACAUUGCCCUCUAGUAUAUGUUUUCCUAAAAGUCACUGUAGAUACAGAAAUAACAGUAUGGUUCAGGUGACAGUAAGUGGAAGCUGAAGGUAAUUUCCAUGUGCUCAAGAGAAACAUAACGUGACGAUAUAGUUGAUUUCUGAUAGAAGGCCCUGCCUCAUUCAUUGUAGUAUUAAUGUGUUUGGAUAAGUCA